CCAGACUCUUACGGGAGGCAGCAGUGGGGAAUAUUGCACAAUGGGGGAAACCCUGAUGCAGCAACGCCGCGUGAAGGAAGACGGUUUUCGGAUUGUAAACUUCUGUUCUUAGUGAAGAAGAAUGACGGUAGCUAAGGAGCAAGCCACGGCUAACUACGUGCCAGCAGCCGCGGUAAUACGUAGGGGGCGAGCGUUAUCCGGAUUCACUGGGUGUAAAGGGAGCGUAGACGGCCGUGCAAGCCAGGAGUGAAAGCCCGGGGCCCAACCCCGGGACUGCUCUUGGAACUGUGCGGCUGGAGUGCGGGAGGGGCAGGCGGAAUUCCUGGUGUAGCGGUGAAAUGCGUAGAUAUCAGGAGGAACACCGGUGGCGAAGGCGGCCACCUGGACCGGUAUUGACGCUGAGGUGCGAAAGCGUGGGGAGCAAACAGGAUUAGAUACCCCAGUAA
rnacentral:rRNA from 1 species